CACGUAGGGAGCAAGCGUUGUCCGGAUUUAUUGGGCGUAAAGAGCUCGUAGGUGGUUCAGUAAGUCGGAUGUGAAAACUCAAGGCUCAACCUUGAGACGCCAUCCGAUACUGCUGUGACUUGAGUUCGGUAGAGGAGUGUGGAAUUCCUGGUGUAGCGGUGAAAUGCGCAGAUAUCAGGAGGAACACCAACAGCGAAGGCAGCACUCUGGGCCGAUACUGACACUGAGGAGCGAAAGCAUGGGGAGCAAACAGG
rnacentral:rRNA from 1 species